rnacentral:rRNA from 1 species
AACGAACGCUGGCGGCAUGCCUAACACAUGCAAGUCGAACGAGACCUUCGGGUCUAGUGGCGCACGGGUGCGUAACGCGUGGGAACCUGCCCUUAGGUUCGGAAUAACUCCCCGAAAGGGGUGGUAAUAAUGGAUAAUGUCUUCGGACCAAAGAUUUAUCGCCUUUGGAUGGGCACGCGUUGGAUUAGCUAGUUGGUAGGGUAAAAGCUGAAUACGGGGACGAUCCAUAGCUGGUCUGAGAGGAUGAUCAACCACACUGGGACUGAGACACGCCCCAGACUCCUACUGGAGGCAGCAGUGGUGAAUAUUCGACAAUGGGCGAAAGCCUGAUCCAGCAAUGCCGCGUGAGUGAUGAAGGCCUUAGGGUUGUAAAGCUCUUUUACCCGGGAUGAUAAUGACAGUACCAGAAGAAUAAGCUCCGGCUAACUCCGUG